rnacentral:lncRNA from 1 species
GGUGCCAUCCAAAAUUUUGUUAUAGCUCACGAAGGCGUCUAUAAAGCUCAAAAAUUAAUAUCCCGAAGUUGCAUCAACUAGUUAAUCGAUCUUUGAUAAAGAAAAGAUGUCCUUCGGACAAGCUUCAUUUAAAUUAGUGUAGUCAAUACAGAUUCUCUAUUUUUUAUUAAUUUUUUUCACCAUCAUUAUAUUAGCGAUCCAAUCUGGAUAAUUAGCUUUUCUAAUGAAGCCAGCCGCGAGAAGCUUGUCAACUUCUUUAUCGAUGACCUUCUGCCUUUCAGGAGAAAAAAGUCUUUUCUUCUGCCUCACCGGUCUAACUUUGGGUCAAUGUUCAACUGGUAAGUUAUUACUUUUGGAGGAAUCUCUGGCAUAUCGAUUGUCAAUUAAGCAAAAAUAUCGGUAUUUGCCCUUAGCAGAUUCACUAGUUGUUUUCAUUCCGGAUCAGAUAAUUGCGAUCCAAUUUAGAUCGAUUUUUUAGGAUUAUCUUCUCUUAAUGGGAUAGAAAUCAAUUGUUCAGCUGGUUUAUCUCUUUUUUCAUUUUCUCUUUGAUCCAGUUUAUCAAUCGACAAAGAGUCUUUAAGUUGACUAUUCUUUGCAGAGACCAUAAAGCAAUAUCUAGUAAGUUACUGAUCUCUGCAUAUUUUUUCAACUUUAUUUUUUAUCGAAAAUCAGAUCAAUAAAUGAUAUAUUGAUACUAUCGCUCUCAAGACAUUGAGUUCUGAUUGUCUAAGUAUGGCAUUCUAAGUCGAAGGAACUCGGACGAUCGUGAAUGUUAAGAAAACGGUACUUUAUUAUGGAUCAGUUUCUGUAGUUAGUGGGAGAGUAAUUUUUUC